CGAGCGGACAGAAGGGAGCUUGCUCCCGGAUGUUAGCGGCGGACGGGUGAGUAACACGUGGGUAACCUGCCUGUAAGACUGGGAUAACUCCGGGAAACCGGAGCUAAUACCGGAUAGUUCCUUGAACCGCAUGGUUCAAGGAUGAAAGACGGUUUCGGCUGUCACUUACAGAUGGACCCGCGGCGCAUUAGCUAGUUGGUGAGGUAACGGCUCACCAAGGCGACGAUGCGUAGCCGACCUGAGAGGGUGAUCGGCCACACUGGGACUGAGACACGGCCCAGACUCCUACGGGAGGCAGCAGUAGGGAAUCUUCCGCAAUGGACGAAAGUCUGACGGAGCAACGCCGCGUGAGUGAUGAAGGUUUUCGGAUCGUAAAGCUCUGUUGUUAGGGAAGAACAAGUGCAAGAGUAACUGCUUGCACCUUGACGGUACCUAACCAGAAAGCCACGGCUAACUACGUGCCAGCAGCCGCGGUAAUACGUAGGUGGCAAGCGUUGUCCGGAAUUAUUGGGCGUAAAGGGCUCGCAGGCGGUUUCUUAAGUCUGAUGUGAAAGCCCCCGGCUCAACCGGGGAGGGUCAUUGGAAACUGGGAAACUUGAGUGCAGAAGAGGAGAGUGGAAUUCCACGUGUAGCGGUGAAAUGCGUAGAGAUGUGGAGGAACACCAGUGGCGAAGGCGACUCUCUGGUCUGUAACUGACGCUGAGGAGCGAAAGCGUGGGGAGCGAACAGGAUUAGAUACCCUGGUAGUCCACGCCGUAAACGAUGAGUGCUAAGUGUUAGGGGGGUUUCCGCCCCUUAGUGCUGCAGCUAACGCAUUAAGCACUCCGCCUGGGGAGUACGGUCGCAAGACUGAAACUCAAAGGAAUUGACGGGGG
rnacentral:rRNA from 1 species